AGUGAACGCUGGCGGUAGGCCUAACACAUGCAAGUCGAGCGGCAGCACAGUAAGAGCUUGCUCUUACGGGUGGCGAGUGGCGGACGGGUGAGGAAUACAUCGGAAUCUACUUUUUCGUGGGGGAUAACGUAGGGAAACUUACGCUAAUACCGCAUACGACCUACGGGUGAAAGCAGGGGAUCUUCGGACCUUGCGCGAUUGAAUGAGCCGGUGUCGGAUUAGCUAGUUGGCGGGGUAAAGGCCCACCAAGGCGACGAUCCGUAGCUGAUCUGAGAGGGUGAGAGGCAAAAAGGGAAAGGAGAGAAGGUAAAGACUGAUAAGGGAGGCAGGAGUAGGGAAUCUUCAGCAAGGGGCGAAAGAAUGACGGAGCAACGUCGAGUGAGUGAUGAAGGUAUUAGGAUCGUAAAAAUCUGUUAUUAGGGAAGAAAAAAUGUGUAAGUAACUAUGCACGUCUUGAAGGGACCUAAUCAGAAAGCCACGGCUAAAUACGUG
rnacentral:rRNA from 1 species